CGCGGCCUAUCAGCUUGUUGGUGAGGUAAUGGCUCACCAAGGCGUCGACGGGUAGCCGGCCUGAGAGGGUGACCGGCCACACUGGGACUGAGACACGGCCCAGACUCCUACGGGAGGCAGCAGUGGGGAAUAUUGCACAAUGGGCGGAAGCCUGAUGCAGCAACGCCGCGUGAGGGAUGACGGCCUUCGGGUUGUAAACCUCUUUUAGCAGGGAAGAAGCGAGAGUGACGGUACCUGCAGAAAAAGCGCCGGCUAACUACGUGCCAGCAGCCGCGGUAAUACGUAGGGCGCAAGCGUUAUCCGGAAUUAUUGGGCGUAAAGAGCUCGUAGGCGGUUUGUCGCGUCUGCUGUGAAAUCCCGAGGCUCAACCUCGGGCCUGCAGUGGGUACGGGCAGACUAGAGUGCGGUAGGGGAGAUUGGAAUUCCUGGUGUAGCGGUGGAAUGCGCAGAUAUCAGGAGGAACACCGAUGGCGAAGGCAGAUCUCUGGGCCGUAACUGACGCUGAGGAGCGAAAGGGUGGGGAGCAAACAGGCUUAGAUACCCUGGUAGUCCACCCCGUAAACGUUGGGAACUAGUUGUGGGGACCAUUCC
rnacentral:rRNA from 1 species